rnacentral:lncRNA from 1 species
UUUUUAAAAAUUAGAUUCCACAUAUUAGUGACCACAUAUGAUAUUUGUCUUUCUUUGUCUGACUUACUUCACUUGGCAUGAUAAUUUCUAGAUCCAUCCAUGUUGCUGCAAAAAGGAUUGUUUCAUUCUUUUUAUGGCUGAGUAAUAUUUCACUAUAUACGUGUACCACAUCUUCUUUAUCCAGUCCUCUGUUGAUGCACAUUUAGAUUGCCUCCAUGUCUUGGCUAUUGUAAAUAGAGCUGCAGUGAGCAUUGGGGUGCAUUUAUCUUUUCAAAUUAUGGUUUUCUCCAGAUAGAUGCCCAGGAGUGGGAUUGCUGGAUUAUAUGGUAGUUCUAUUUUUGAUUUUUUAAGGGACCUCCAUCCUGUUCUUCAUAAUAGUUGCAUCAAUUCAUAUUCCCACCAACAGUAUAGGAGGGUUCCCUUUUCUUUAUACCUUCUUCAGCAUUUAUUGUUUGUAGAAAUUUUGAUGAUGGACAUUCUGACUUGUGUGAGGUGAUACCUCAUUGUAGUUUUGAUUUGCAUUUCUCUGAUAAUUAGUGCUGUUGAGCAUCUUUUCAUGUGCUUUUUGGUUAUCUGUCUUCUUCAGAAGGUACCAUACUGUUUUGAUGAAUGUAGUUUUGUAAUAUAGCCAGGGAGCCUUCAAGGAUUCUUCCAGCUCCAUUUUCUCUCUCAAAAUUGCUUUGGCUAUUCAGGGUCUUUCGUGUUUAAAUACAAAUUUAAAAAAAUUUUUGUUCUAGUUCUGUGAAAAAUGAUGUUGGGUAAUUUGAUAGGGAGUUCAUUGAAUCUGUAGAUUGCCUUAGGUAGUAUAGUCAUUUUGACAAUAUUGAUUCUUCUAAUCCAAUAGCAUGGUAUAUCUUUCCAGCUGUUGGUGUCAUCUUUGAUUUCCUUCAUUGGUGUCUUAUAGUUUUCAAAGUACAUGUAGUUUGCAUCUUUGGGUAGGUUUAUUCCUAGGUAUUUUAUUCUCUUUAAUGUAAUUCAUUUUAGGAUGUAUUAUAAAGCUACAGUAAUCAAGACAGUGUGGGGUUGCCAAAGGACAAAUAGAUCAAUGGAACAGAAGAGUCUAGAAAUAGAUCCACCUAUAUAGGACAGCUGACUGUUGACAAAUAUCUGAAGGCAAUUCAGUGAAGAAAGGGUAGUCUUUGGACAAAUUGUGCUGGAGCAAUUGGAUAGUCACAUGCAAAAGAUGAGCUUUGCACCAUACCUCACAUCAUAGAUAAAAAUUAACUUGGACCAUAUUUUAAACAGCUGUAUUGAGGAGUAAUGCAUAAUAUAUUGCUUAUAUUUACAAUGUAUAGUUUAAUAACUUUGACAUAGACACACACCCAGGAAGAGUGGGAUUGCUACUAUGGGAAGGCAGGCUACAUCACCAGUCAACUUCCAGUUGUGGAAAACAGAAUCUACUCUAGUAAUUUAAGCAGAAAAUGACUUUUCAGGGUAUAAAAUGACUUACAGGAUUAUUACAAGGGUAGACAAUAUGGUUCUAGACUGAGUUUCUAGGAACAACUCUCAAAGUCUUAUGACCAAGCUUGCUAUAGUCAGAGAGCCUCUUCUGCUAAGCUAGGAAGCCACCCUGGCCUCAAAGCUGUACCAGUUGUAUUGGGAUUCUCACUAGUAAACAGCUGCUUAUGUCCUGCCUCUCUUCAUAAAAUCAUUUCGAAAUUUAGGUCUUGCAUCUAACUGUCAAAACCUAAUUGACAUCUAGAACUCUAGCUUCAAGAAAGUCUGGGGAAUGAAGUUUUUAGCUUUCCAGCCUCUACAAUAUUGGCAGGUACUUUAGAAGAAGCUUGGGACAGAUGUUGAGCAGGCCAAUCCACAAUACCCAUCACAGGAGUUGGUUCAAGGGAGAAAAUCAGGAUUCAGUUUUAAACAUGGUAACUUCAAGGUAUCUUUUAGAUAGACUAGUGGAGAUGUAUAGUAGGCAGGGUAAUAAAAUGCAGCAUAGUGUAGUGAUACAAAGCACAGAUUCUAGAACUAGUCUGCUUGAGUUCAUAUCUACACAUCAUUUGCUGGCUGUUUGACACUGAGCAACUUACUUAACCUCUCCGUGCCUCAAUUGUUAUCAUCUGUAAAAUUGGAAUAGUAAUAGAAUUUGCUCAAGUAAGGUUGUUAUGAGGGCUUAAAUGAGUUAAGAUUUAUAAAGUGUUUAAAACAAUAUAUGUCACAAAAUAAGUAUAUGUGCUUGUUAUUAUAAUAAUUACUAAUAUUCUAACUAAGAAUUAUUGUUUUAAUUAAUCAUACAGCAGCCCCUCAUAUCCAUAGGUUCUGGGAGAGAAUUAAUUUGUGCUAUUUUAAGCCACUGAGUUUGUGUUGUUACACAGUAACAGAUAAUUAAUACAAUGGAUUAAGUAUAAAGUGGUAUUAAGGAAUUAGUAACUUAUAAUUGUUACAAUUUGGAGUUACAAAAAUUCUAUUUUAAUUUUUUAGCGAUGCAUAGCUGAAAUAUUCUGGAAGUGUCUGAAAUUCAUUUUUAAAUAACGGUAAAGAAAUAUAUAAAAAUAUAAGAAGAAAUGAUAGGGAGUUUCCAUCGUGGCACAGUGGAAACAAAUCCGGCUAGGAACCGUGAGGUGGUGGUUGCCUGGCCUCAUUCAGUGGGUUAAGGAUCCGGUGUUGCCGUGAGCUGUGGUAUGGGUCUCAGACAAGGCUCAGAUCCUGCCUUGCUGUGCCUGUGGUGUAGGCUGGUGGUUACAGCUCCGAUUAGACCCCUAACCUGGGAACCUCCAUAUGCCUCGGGUGCAGCCCUCAAAAGCAAAAAAAAAAAAAA